rnacentral:lncRNA from 1 species
UUAAGCUUAUGUUAGUUUACUUGGUUAAGGUGCAUGUAAUUUUUUGGCUUAUUGUGUUGUCAUGUCAAUGUAUGCUCCACAAACAGAUGGUUUUUUUUUGCUAGCAGUAUGGUACUAUUUCAUGAUGUAAUGACAAUUAUGGUUUGAUAUAUAUCUAAUUUCUAAUUAUUGCAGAAUUAUCUACUUAUUUGCAUGAUGCAAUUC